AAAGGUAACAAUGUUUUGAUCCCGCAAGAGGAACAACAGAUGUCGGAGCUUGAGGAAGAUGGUACUGAAAUCAGCGACGAUGACUCCUCGGAGAGGUCAAGUUCUCAACCAAAGCCUUCGAAGGGUGUCAGACGGAAUAAAUGGAGACCUGAGGAGGUGAAGAAACUCAUUAAAAUGCGUGGGGAAUUGCAUAGCAAAUUCCAAGUUGUAAAGGGAAGAAUGGCCCUCUGGAAAGAAAUAUCAACACAUUUAGCAAAUGAGGGAUUUAAUCGAACUCCAAGCCAGUGCAAAUCCCGGUGGUCAUCUUUACUUCAGAAAUACGAGGUUUGUUCUUCCACCCUUCCCUUGACAAGAAUUUCAGUUAUAAAUUCUGGUAACCAUAGUUUACAUGAAGAAGAAAGGAAAAUUUGUCUGGUGGUAUCAAGAUUUCAAACUCUGAAAACGAAAUCCAGACAUGCUUUUAUUCACAUGAUUGAUUGUUUGAAACAGGAAAGCAAGAGUGGGAAUAGCCAAAAAAGUUGGCCAUACUUUGAGGAAAUGAAUAAAAUUUUCUCGGACUCUGACUCAGAGGCGAUGGCAACGAAAUGAUUGAAGAAGGUAAGAACAGUGAGCAUUGAAUUCCCGGGAAGAGUGUCCAAGGACACACUUGCUUCAAAUUAAAAAGCCUGGGUUGUUGGCGACAUUUUUAUCCCAUCAUGGCUUCGUCAUAAGGAUGCUCCAUGACAAAAGAGAGCAGAAUGACUAAUGAAAAAUUGGUCUAGGUUCAAAAAGCGGGAGGCCUCCGUGAAUUGGCCAAUCUGAUGAUGUACAAGAGGUGGAUUAAGUUAAAUUUUGUAGUUUAGUACCCUUGUGUAAAUUGGAAACUAGGCCAACAAAAGAAGAGUAGAGAGUGGGAAACAAAUCCCGGGAGUGGCAUUUAAUUUUAAUUUUAAUUUUAAUUUUCUAUUUUCCUCUAUUAUUGGAUUACCCUUUAAUUAUCAGCACCGAUAUGCUCACAACAUUCAGCCUCACAUAUAGCACCGAACGGUACGUUUCAAGAUAACUGUAAAAUGGUCACUGUAGAUGGAUAAUUACAACACACACGCAUUGAGAAAAAACAUACGCGCUCUUUGGCAGAACAAGCACGCACGCUCUGGCUCUUCAGCUCUCUCCUUCAAUCCUACCAAUCCAGCAAUCACCAUCGGCUUCGUCUCUCUCUCGUCUGUCCGUUGCAUCUCUCACAUCUCUCACAGCGCCUCACUCUCUCGGCUGUCUCAAAAAUUCGACUUGCAGCCUCACUCUCUUAGCUUCACUCGUCGAUUUCUAGCGGUAAUUUGCUUAAUUAAUUUCAAUUUUGAUUGUAAAGAUUCAGCUGUCAUUUAGUUAAACAAGGGAAGCUUGCUGCAACACUGAAUUGAAUAUAAAUUAUUGUGACAAAUAAUUGAGGAUAAUGUUUAUCCAAUAUCUACAUAAAAUUCUUGCACCGUAA
rnacentral:lncRNA from 1 species